UACGGAGGGUGCAAGCGUUGUCCGGAUUUAUUGGGUUUAAAGGGUGCGUAGGCGGCUCAUUAAGUCAGCGGUGAAAGCCUCCAGCUCAACUGGAGAACUGCCAUUGAUACUGAUGAGCUUGAGUAUACUUGAGGUAGGCGGAAUUGACAGUGUAGCGGUGGAAUGCGCAGAUAUCAGGAGGAACACCGAUGGCGAAGGCAGGUCUCUGGGCCAUUACUGACACUGAGAAGCGAAAGCAUGGGGAGCGAACAGG
rnacentral:rRNA from 1 species